CGCCUCGGUCCUGCCGGAGGAGGGAGGAGGAGAGGGAAGACUGCGAGGUCAGCAGCAUCUUUAUGGAUGGCAGAGAGAAUGUGAGCAGGAGAACCAUCAAAAGGAUUUAACACCGAGCUGCUCCUUUGACAACCCUGCAUUACAGCCUGCAGCCAUGCCACAGCUGGGCUCAGCCCUUCCCUGGCUGGGUAGGAGAGAUGAUUUUUUUCAGUUGGGCUCUGACGUUGAUGUUGCAAUGCUCUUUGAUAGCCAAGAACACAAGGACUGACUUCAGGAGCAGCUGAAACUUCAUCAGGAACCGGAGCAUAAAGAAAAGAAGGGAUGGGGAGCGGGGAAUGGCAGGAAGUGAUACUGUUGAAACGGCCCUUUGAAAUUUCCCAAAUGAUGUUUGAUCUGUGGGUCCCUUAAAGCCGCUGCGAUGCGUUCGGUAUCAAACUGAUGUGUUCCGUGG
ensembl:lncRNA